GUCAAACCCAUCAGCAUGAGCUGGAGGGUAUGCACGGGCCUCUAAAGCAGGGGGCCGGCUGGGAUGGGCGUGAUAGGUGAGUAUUAAGGACGUGAGCAAGGGCAGAGAUUGGAUCGGAAGGCUCGGGGACGUUAGCCGGGGGCGGAGAAGGGGUUGGAGGAUCAGAGGGAGGAGGUGGAGGAGGAGGAGGAGGUAAAUCAGUGGGAGGCGGGGCAGGAAUCGCGGAAUUAACCAGGGAGGUAACAGCAGAGAAGAGGGCGGAUAUCGAGCUAGACAGGUCAUUGGCCAUGGUUGGGUCAGGGGUCACCGGGGGAGAGGUCGGAGGGAUGGGAACAGGGGGCUGGGUCGUAACAGCGUGGGUAAACCAGUCGGGGGAGGAGGAGACAACGAGGUAGAGGGGGCCAGGACUUCGGGAGGAGGAGGUAACACUGGAGAAGGGGUGGUAACGGGGGGUUGGGUCAGGGCGGUGAGGGCAGAAAUCAGGGACGGCAAAUCGGCCGAGGGAGGAGGAGGCAACGAGGUAGAGGGGACCGGGACUUCGGGAGGAGGAGGUAACACUGGAGAAGGGGUUGGAGGGGUGGUAACGGGGGGCUGGGUCAGGGCGGUAAGGGCAGAGAUUAGGGACGGCAAAUCAGCCGAGAGGGGAGGAGGCAACGAGGUAAAGGGGACCGGGAUAUCGGGAGGGGGUACCACUGGAGAAGGGAUUGGAGGGGUGGGAACGGGGGGCUGGGUCAGGGCAGUGAGGGCAGAGAUUAGGGACGGCAAAUCAGUCGGGAGGGGAGGGGACAACGAGGUAGAAGAGAGGUCCGGAGGCAUAAGGGAAGCGGGAUCAGCGGGAGGACAAGGGUCUGGAGGAUCUGGGGCGGUGGGGUGAGUAAGGUCGAGAGGGCAGAGAGCGGGGCAGCGGAUGGAGACGGGUGAGUGGGUAACACUGGGGAGGGGUAAGUCGAGGUGGAGAGGGGACGAGAGGCAAGCAUAGGUAAAGGUGGCGGGGGACAGGGAGGCGGAGGAAUGUCAUUUAACGUAAAGGAUGUUACUGUAAACAUACGAUUUGUAACUAGCAAGAUUCUAUUAAGUAAAGAUACAAUGUUUAAAAUAACUUGCAUUAUUUUGCAAUAUCCCUUGUUGCAAGACACAGGCAUUAAUGAAUAAUCAUCAGGAUAAUUAGCUGUAAUGCUCUUAUAU